rnacentral:sRNA from 2 species
GAACCUGCCGCAGGUUCGGGUCGAACGCAGUGAGACAACGGAGCCGUUUACGGCGACGGCCCGUAGGGCGAGCGAAGCGAGUCAUCCUGCACGACCCACCA